rnacentral:rRNA from 1 species
CGUCUAGGCGGGUCGGUCAGUCGGCUGUGAAAGCCCUCGGCUCAACCGAGGAAGUGCAUCCGAUACUGCCGGUCUUGAGGACGAGAGGGGAGAGUGGAACUCCUGGUGGAGCGGUGAAAUGCGUAGAUAUCAGGAGGAACGCCGGUGGCGAAAGCGACUCUCUGGAUCGUUUCUGACGCUGAAGCGCGAAAGCUAGGGGAGCGAACG